rnacentral:rRNA from 1 species
GACGAACGCUGGCGGCGUGCCUAAUACAUGCAAGUUGAGCGCUGAAGGUUGGUACUUGUACCGACUGGAUGAGCAGCGAACGGGUGAGUAACGCGUGGGGAAUCUGCCUUUGAGCGGGGGACAACAUUUGGAAACGAAUGCUAAUACCGCAUAAAAACUUUAAACACAAGUUUUAAGUUUGAAAGAUGCAAUUGCAUCACUCAAAGAUGAUCCCGCGUUGUAUUAGCUAGUUGGUGAGGUAAAGGCCCACCAAGGCGAUGAUACAUAGCCGACCUGAGAGGGUGAACGGCCACAUUGGGACCGGGACACGGCCCAAAACCCUUCGGGGAGGAGCAGUAGGGAAUCAUUGGAAAAGGACGAAAGUCUGAACGCACAACGCCGCGGGGGGGAAGAAGGGUGUCGGAUCGGAAAACUCUGUUGGUAGGGAAGAAAGUUGGUGAGAGUGGAAAGCUCAUGAAGUGACGGUAACUACCCAGAAAGGGACGGCUAACUACGUG